rnacentral:lncRNA from 1 species
GAUGUUCCAAAUCACGGAUUUCGUGUAGGAAUGAAAUUAGAAGCAGUAGAUCUCAUGGAGCCACGUUUAAUAUGUGUAGCCACAGUAACUCGAAUUAUUCAUCGUCUCUUGAGGAUACAUUUUGAUGGAUGGGAAGAAGAGUAUGAUCAGUGGGUAGACUGUGAGUCACCUGACCUCUAUCCUGUAGGGUGGUGUCAGUUAACUGGAUAUCAACUACAGCCUCCAGCAUCACAGUGUAAGUUGGUAUACAGAAAAGGUGUCCUUUUGUAAAAAUCAGCAAUUCUCCAGAGGACUAUCUCACAUAAGUCAUCUUAUGAGCUCACAGGACAAGAAUAUACCUAUGUCUGAUUGGUUGCCAGCAUCAAGAGAAAACCAAUCAGCUUCAUCAAAACAGAAGAAAAAGGCUAAGUCCCAGCAAUACAAAGGACAUAAGAAAAGUGGGUCACCACGUGGUGUUCACAUACAUUUUCUAAUUGUUAACUAAUUGGAGUCACAGUAUUCUUGGACAGAAAAUGAUAUAUCUUGUGAGAACUG